ACGGGUGAGUAAUACAUCGGAACGUGCCUAGUAGUGGGGGAUAACUACUCGAAAGAGUAGCUAAUACCGCAUGAGAUCUACGGAUGAAAGCAGGGGACCUUCGGGCCUUGUGCUACUAGAGCGGCUGAUGGCAGAUUAGGUAGUUGGUGGGGUAAAGGCUUACCAAGCCUGCGAUCUGUAGCUGGUCUGAGAGGACGACCAGCCACACUGGGACUGAGACACGGCCCAGACUCCUACGGGAGGCAGCAGUGGGGAAUUUCGGACAAUGGGCGAAAGCCUGAUCCAGCAAUGCCGCGUGCAGGAUGAAGGCCCUCGGGUUGUAAACUGCUUUUGUACGGAACGAAAAGCCUGGGGCUAAUAUCCCCGGGUCAUGACGGUACCGUAAGAAUAAGCACCGGCUAACUACGUGCCAGCAGCCGCGGUAAUACGUAGGGUGCAAGCGUUAAUCGGAAUUACUGGGCGUAAAGCGUGCGCAGGCGGUUUUGUAAGACAGUGGUGAAAUCCCCGGGCUCAACCUGGGAACUGCCAUUGUGACUGCAAGGCUAGAGUGCGGCAGAGGGGGGAUGGAAUUCCGCGUGUAGCAGUG
rnacentral:rRNA from 1 species